rnacentral:rRNA from 1 species
UACGUAGGGUGCAAGCGUUGUCCGGAAUUACUGGGCGUAAAGAGCUCGUAGGUGGUUUGUCGCGUUGUUCGUGAAAACUCACAGCUCAACUGUGGGCGUGCGGCGAUACGGGCAGACUGGAGUACUGCAGGGGAGACUGGAAUUCCUGGUGUAGCGGUGGAAUGCGCAGAUAUCAGGAGGAACACCGGUGGCGAAGGCGGGUCUCUGGGCAGUAACUGACGCUGAGGAAGCGAAAGCGUGGGGAGCGAACAGG